AAUUAAGUCUGAAGUUAGAAACUUUACUUGCUCUAACAGUGACACCAAAACAGACAGUUGUUGCGAUUCAAAGGAAAACAAAACCACCUCAUUAAGGAAGUGAUACAGAUAUAAUUAAUAUUCUGAAUCAAACUGUUUCAACCUCUUUCCUCAGGUAGUACACAAGAUCUCUUUUCAUUUCCCUUUUAAGUAGAAACUUAGAAGCACUAUUUAGAUCCUAGUUUUUUAUUGCCAAAUUUUUUAGCGUAGUCUUGCUUCACCAAAGCUUGAAGACUACAUUAGUAUCUUUAUACUUGUGGCCAGAGGUACUCAGUAUCGUUAAUAGUUACUUGCUAAUGGUAGGAUGAUGAGUCAUGCAAAUAGGUAGCCAGCUCCUGUAUCAAAGAGCACAGCAUAAAUGACUGGUGGCCAUGGAGGCCAGAACGACCUGUAUGUGAAGAAAAGAUUCUGAAGUAUCUAAGUUGACACAUGGAUGCAGGGAAUUGAACCCAUUAACCAGUGCUCUUACAGGAGCUGUCUCUCCAGCCCCCAUACAGAUUCUCUAUUAACUAAAACAGUAUUUUGACUAUAAUGAAACUUUGUGAGGAUUCCAUUAACACCAAAGAGUGUGGCAAAUAAAGACCUUCAAGUUUUAUUUCGAUCUAAGUUUAUCUGUGUCAUCUACAAUUAAUGAAAAUAAAGUAGAACAUAUAACCAUUAUAUGUGUAAAACUCUUCAUGAAACCCUUAAAAUAACUCCAAAGAAUUAUACUAUAGUAACUUAACAUAAUAUUCAGCUGAUCUAAAAUACAGUCUAUAAUUUUUAUGUAGUAUAUAACUUUUCUUGUCUUGACCAAAGCACAUGACAGAAACAACUCAAGGAAGGUAAGGUUUAUUAUUUUGGCUCACGGUUCCAGAGGAUACAAUCUAUAAUGGCUGAGGAGGCAGCAGUGGAAGUAUGGGACAGAGGUAAUUCAUACAUCCUGACUGGAUAAGACCAGCAGGAGUAUAUAAUCCUCACCCAUCGAUAUCCUUAAGGUUUCACAGCCUUCAAAAUAGAGCCUUAAGUUGAAAGACCAACAGCUCAAAACAAGCCUCCAGGUACAUUUCAGAUUCAAGCCUCAACACACACCUUAAUAUAUUUCAACGAAGCUACACAUUCACAAUUUAAAUACAGUUUUUCAUCAGGGAGACAGAUAUAAUUCAUAAGAGUGUUUAGACUACAAAUCAGAUACAAUUUAGUCAAAAUACCAUAAAGAGUACUUUAAGUAAUCAGGAAAGAGAUUUUAACAUUAUUGCUUACUCUUAUGAAUUUUAACCAAAUUGAUAAUUCUAUAAUCUUAGUUUAUUUUCUAUAGACUUAAAUUAUACUGCUUGCCAGGUAAUGCAAGUAUUGAUGCAACUUUCUGAAAUUAAUUGAACUGCAAACAAAUUAUAAACUUAGCCAGCACACACAUUUUGACUCCACUGCUUCAGAAGUAGUACUAUAAAAAGUAACCACUGUAUAGGGAAAAACAAAGAAAAGUCUUUCCUUAAAAAUUUUCAAGAAUUAUAGUAACAAAUGUUCAUGGAAAGGCCAAUCCAAUUUUUUCUAUAUACCACUUUGCUUUCCCAUUUAAGGGAAAAAGGAGUUAUCAGAAUUU
rnacentral:lncRNA from 1 species